rnacentral:rRNA from 1 species
GGUCUGGAAUCGAUGAAGAACGUAGCGAAAUGCGACACUUGGUGUGAAUUGCAGAAUCCCGUGAACCAUCGAGUCUUUGAACGCAAGUUGCGCCCCAAGCCGUUCNGGCCGAGGGCACGNCUGCNUGGGUGUCACGC